AAGAAACAUCGAGUCACUUUGCCUGGACAGGAGGAACCCUGGGACAUCCGGAACCUGCUCAUCUGGAUCAAGAAGAAUUUGCUAAAAGAGCGGCCAGAGUUGUUCAUCCAGGGAGACAGCGUGCGGCCAGGAAUUCUGGUGCUGAUUAACGAUGCCGACUGGGAGCUACUGGUCAGUACCUUGGGGGACAUCCCUCCUCCAGCCCCUGCCCUUGCUGCUUCAGUGGGAAAGCAUUGGGCCUCUCCUCAGGCACAUAUAGAGUGGCUGGGUAAUCCUCCGCCCCACUCCAGCCCCACACUGAGGCUGCUGGAGUCUCCCACUCCAGGUGAGGAAGGGAUGGGUAGCUGGGGACAUGGGAGUACUCCUCCAUCCUGAAGAUUUGCAGGUUGAGGUAUAGGAUACCCAUUUUUCUGGUAGAGUCUGUCUCUUCCAGAGCAGCCAGUCCUCAGCCCCUGUUCUCCCAACUCCUGGGGUGGACCUGGGAAGGUGGCCCUGAGGGUCUCCCGCUCCCCUCUCUCCCGCACCAGGGUGAGCUGGACUACCAGCUUCAGGACCAGGACAGCGUCCUCUUCAUCUCCACUCUGCACGGCGGCUGAGGGCCCUUCUCCGGGCCUGGGCACCCUUAGAGGGGAGAACGAAGCAAUCAGACAUCCCCUUGGGCCCUGCUUCCAGGUCUCCCUGUCCCCCUUGCCUGCCUUCUUCCCUGCUCUGUCCCCUAAGCUCCCUCCAGG
rnacentral:sRNA from 1 species